rnacentral:rRNA from 1 species
AUUGAACGCUGGCGGCAGGCCUAACACAUGCAAGUCGAGCGGAGCGGCGGACGGGUGAGUAAUGCCUAGGAAUCUGCCUGGUAGUGGGGGAUAACGUCCGGAAACGGGCGCUAAUACCGCAUACUAUCAGAUGAGCCUAGGUCGGAUUAGCUAGUUGGUGGGGUAAAGGCCUACCAAGGCGACGAUCCGUAACUGGUCUGAGAGGAUGAGCAGUCAGACGGGAAUGGAGACACGGUCAAGACUCCUCCGGGAGGCAGCAGGGGGGAAGAUUGGACAAUGGUCGAAAGCCUUAUCCAGCAAGGCUGCGUGUGUGAAGAAGGUUUUCGGAUUGUAAAGCACUUUAAGUUGGGAGGCGUUACCAACAGAAUAAGCACCGGCUAACUUCGUGCCAGCAGCCGCGGUAAUUC